rnacentral:lncRNA from 1 species
UGAAUUGCCUCUAGAAAAGUAUAAAUUAAUCUAUCUUCAAAACCAAACCCUCCUGGGCUUGAUGGAGAUUUGGUCUUCUGCUUAAAAAGGAAAAAAAAAAAAAAAAAGAAGGAAUAAAGGGAUUUUAUGCUGGAAGAUAAGAACUAGUGAAACCUGGCAAGCUGCCUCAUAGCAGAUUGCAGCCUGUUUAACUACUGUUUCAUCACUACAAAGUGAAAAGGAUCGCCAUGGUUCUGGUAAGGGGCUAAAGAGUUCAUUUCUUCUCUACACACCCCCAUGUUCCCCUUUAUAGUCUCUACACAUCCUAUAUGCUUUCAGGUUAUAGCUGUGGUUUUCUUUGGGACCCUGACUAACCAGAGGAGAGUAUCUUCUGAAUGUCACCGUUUAUGGAUGGUGUACUGUUAGUUGUGUCCUUGUUGCCCACUGGAGCUCCACAGCUCUCCUGCAGAACUGCUGCACUGUCACUUACUGCCUGUUCCAACUUCUCCAUCAAUCUUCUGUGAACAGUGCUGAUUGCCAGCAUUCUCCAGCCUGCUGUCUGCAAAUUCACUGGCUAACACUGCAGCUGGGAAGCGAGAUGGAGCAGGGAGAGCUGGAAGCUCACAAUUCAAGACUACCACCUUCACAGUGCUCUGCUCAAGGCAAACUGUAGUGGAAUGCAGUAAGGACUCCAAAAGCCAUAAAUCAUGUAUGUGAACUUUUCUGAAGAAUAAACUGGAGAAAAACUCACUCUUUCCUCUCUUU